rnacentral:lncRNA from 1 species
AAGUGGUUGGCUGAAUUUUUUUUCCCAAGGAACUGAUAAAGCAAGUAGAAAUUUAAUUAUUGUGUAGAACUUUUGGUAAUUUUAAAGCCAUUCUUAUUUUCAAUGAAAACAACGUGAUGAAAGAAUCUUCAAAUAAGUGGCAUGGAUAUCUUACCUGAUUAGAGAAGACUUUCAGACACAAUCCAGAUACCGUCAACAUAGCCAUAAAUAAUUUUUAGGACUAUGUAAAUGAACAAAAGCCUUUAUUAUUUAUGUAAAUCAAGAUCUUAAGGUGAAGGAAAUUGAUGAAUUAAUAUAUAUAUAUGUAUUUAGCUGUGGAUAUCACCUUUUAAGACACAAGCUACUUUAGUCUUAAGAACUUUAAGAAAUCUUUGUAACUAAACAAACUAGGUAGGGAUGUGAAGCAUAUAAUCUGAGUCUCAGUAGUUAGCUCUGGGAUUGGCUCUGAAACAGCACUUUGGAGCCUAUCAUAACUUGGGUUCAUGGGUGGUGGGUGGGCCAGAAAGAUAAUCAAGAAUGGAGUUGGUGAUUCAACAAGAGUCCAGCCACUUGGAUGGUAUAAAGCUCUGGCAGUGGGCAAUUGCACGAAGGCCCUAGCUAUCAGGUAACAGAAAAAGAUCACAGAAAGCAAGUAGACACCGUCAUUCAGGCAGCAGACUGACAAGAGAGACGUGGGUAGGGUGAACCCUUGUCCUGGAGGGAUGCAAGUUCUAGGCAGAGAGCCAAGACAAGUGGUUUAUGUUUGUGGAAUGUUUUUCCAUUUACAAUGUAUAUUAGAAUGCAUUAAUUUAAUAAAGUCUCGCAACAGCCCACUGAGAUAGAUAUUAUCCUCCCUCCUUUUGUAGAGGAGUUGACUGAGGCUUAGGGCAAAGUCGUAUGUCCUGUCCAACGUCAUAUACCUAGUAAGAGUCAGAGCUGGGAAUUUAACUCUAGCCUUCUGCCCCUUGGUUCAGUGUCCUCCCUCUCCAGGAUCAUUUCCUUUUUUAAUUUGUGUCACGCUUGUACAUCCCAUUAUAAUGUGAACGAACCACCCUUACACGUCUUGUAUGUCACUCAUUUCACCCAGAAUUGUGACCUUACUAAAACUUUGGUUAGAUAGUUUCUUCCUACCUAACAGGCAACUCCUUCUAAGUUUCUUUUUCUUGGUUCCAAUGUCUCUAUCCAACUUCUAAAUGUGGCAUUCCUUAAGUCUAGGUCCUGAACAUUCUUUGUGUCUCUAUUGCAUAUACUCUGAGUGAUUUCACCCAUUUCCGUAGAUUUAAAUGCUAUCUGUACUCAUUCCUUAGCUUACAAAUGCUUGAUUUAUGAAUUUUUUAUUUACAAAGAUAUUUAUGUAUCCUUUAAAAUUGUAUAUAUAAGCAUUUUUCAACUUAACCCAGGAAACUAUUUUUUUCAAACUAAAGGUAUGCUGUGUCAUCAGAAAAGAAACUCAUAGCUGGCCGCUACCUUUUUUUUUCUAAAGAUUUCAAUUUUCUCCGCAAAGCUCCCUCGUACAUAGUUAUGUAUUUUCAGUUGUGGGUCUUCUAGUUGUGGCAUGUGGGACGCCGCCUCAACAUGGCCUGACAAGCAGUGCCAUGUCUGCGUCCAGGAUCCAAACUGGGGAAACCCUGGGCUACAGAAGCAGAGCGCGCGAACUCAACCACUCAGCCAUGGGGCUGGCCCCUAGCCACUACUACUGUUGAGAUGUGAAGAAAUGGGAGCACCUAGAAAAAGAGAUGGGUUUAUAUUUAUUCCUAGUGGAUCUUGGGUCUAGAGCAGCCAAGAUAAAGUUAGAAUCUUGGAAUCUCAGAGCAGGUGCUUCAGUUACUGUUGUAUGUCUGAUCUAAAUUCUUUCAGUACUGUAACUUACAACAUAAUGACCAGCUCUAAUGUGAAAAUACGUAGAGAAAGAUCUUACCUUUUACUGUAAAAUUAAAAGUGAUAAAACAAAUUGGAGCAGGACAAAGAAAUGAAAACUUUAGAUUUGUAUAUUAACUUACUGAAUAAUGUAAAAUUGGAAAAGAAUCAGAGAUUGGUAGAUUUUAAUAACACUAUCACGGAAAUAUGUCUAAAGCUGGGCCUGAAUUGUUUGAGGAUUUCCUGAAGCUUUGAUGCUGGAUCGAAUGCUGCUUUGAACUUCCUAAUUAUAUAGCAGAAGGUGAUGUCUUUGAAGACCUCAGGGAGGCAACUGAACAGGGAGCCCAGGGGACUAAAGGGGUAGAGUUCAAUGGACAUCACAGAAGGUUUCAGAGAUUCGAGAAAAAUAUAGUCUUGGAGUAAAGGCAAGACUGCAAGCGUAGACUAUGAGUCACUUAGCAAUGGCAGAGAGGAACUUCAGAAGAAAUUCAGCAUGAAUCAUUAUCAUUGUCCUUAAAGGAGGUUGAGCUCUUGGGGGACAACUUCCCUGAAAUCCAAUGCUCUCAUAUACAUUUCAUCAGAUAUAGAAAGCUGGUCCAAAUCAUUCUCCCCCAGCUUUCCAAAGGACUGAGAAGAGAAGAUUGCUGCUGCCUUUGGUGACCUAUAGAUCACCUGGUGCAGUGGUUCUGAUAGAGAGGCUCUGAUACCCCAGGUGCAUUUGUGGCUUCUCUUCUAGUCUGGUUCCUUCCUUUCAAAAAGACUUCUCUUCCCCUACCCUUUUCUGGCUGAGAGGUUAAGAAGCAGGCUCCUUUUUGAGCCACCUUCAGGAGGAGAGGAUGAAAUAAGAGAUUGGUGCAGUAGAAAUGAGAUUCAACCAGGCACAAAUUGCAAAAGGGAUCAGAAGACCAGGAAUCAGUCAUGUUUCUUGGCAGAUGGUCAGUGCCAAGAGAAGGAAUGAUGGGACCAUGACUGUCUUUACAAAGAGAAACACAAGACAUGGGCCUAUUUGGCCAAGAUAUGUGCACGUUUUCUUCAUAUGCAUAUUGAAGAAAUUGCGAACUUUUGCGUGUGUGCAGAAUUACACCUUCUGCUAAACCGGAGCCAGAAAGUCAC